AGUGACAAUUCCGCGCCCUGACGAAAUAGGGCGUUAAAAGAUGUAGGUAUAUUUUCUAUAGGCAAAUCCGUAGAGAAUGCUGAAGUCCAACAGUACCAGGAGGCUGCGGCCGAAUGGAUAGAGAAUGUAAGCAGACUUCCGAGAAAAUCUUCUAAGCAUAUUGAUACGGUACCCGUACCGCAAACCGACACAGGUAGUCAAGGAGAGAAUCCUGAGGUGCUCGAGUGAGUCAUGGCUAAGGAACUAAGCAAAUUAAACCUGUAACUUCGGGAAAAGGGUUGCCUCUCUUUAGCAAUAAAGAAGGUCGCAGAGAAAUGGCCCAGGCGACUGUUUAACAAAAACACAUGGCUAUGCGAAAUCGUAAGAUGAAGUAUAUGGCCUGACACCUGCCCGGUGCUGGAAGGUUAAGGGGGGAAGUUAGUCGCAAGGCGAAGCUUUGAACUGAAGCCCCAGUAAACGGCGGCCCUAACUAUAACGGUCCUAAGGUAGCGAAAUUCCUUGUCGGGUAAGUUCCGACCUGCACGAAUGGUGUAACGAUCUGGGCACUGUCUCAGCCAUGAGCUCGGUGAAAUUGUAGUCACGGUGAAGAUGCCGUGUACCCGUCACGGGACGGAAAGACCCCAUGCACCUUUACUAUAGCUUCGCAUUGACAUUGGGUAGAUGAUGUGUAGGAUAGGUGGGAGGCGUUGAUCCUGUGCCGCUAGGUAUAGGGGAGCCAACGGUGAAGUACCACCCUUUAUUUAUCUGAUGUCUAAUCCGCAAGACCUGCGGAGAUAGUGCGUGGUGGGUAGUUUGACUGGGGUGGUCGCCUCCGAAAGUGUAUCGGGGGCUUUCAAAGGUAUGCUCAAUACGCUUGGUAACCGUAUGUGGAGUGCAAUAGCAUAAGCAUGCUUGACUGUGAGACUGACAAGUCGAGCAGGGUCGAAAGACGGAUAUAGUGAUCCGGUGGUUCUGUAUGGAAGGGCCAUCGCUCAAAGGAUAAAAGGUACGCUGGGAUAACAGGCUGAUCUCCCCCAAGAGCUCACAUCGACGGGGAGGUUUGGCACCUCGAUGUCGGCUCGUCACAUCCUGGGGCUGGAGAAGGUCCCAAGGGUUAGGCUGUUCGCCUAUUAAAGUGGCACGCGAGCUGGGUUCAGAACGUCGUGAGACAGUUCGGUCCCUAUCUGUGAUGGGCGUAGGAAGUUUGAGAGGAUCUGACCUUAGUACGAGAGGACCGGGUUGGACCAACCGCUGGUGUACCGGUUGUGGCGUCAGCUGCAUCGCCGGGUAGCUACGUUGGGACGAGAUAAGCGCUGAAAGCAUCUAAGCGCGAAACUCACCUCAAGAUGAGACUUCCAUUAAGGGACGUCAGAGACUAUGACGUUGAUAGGCUGCAGGUGUAAAGGCAGAAAUGUCAAAGCUGAGCAGUACUAAUUACCCA
rnacentral:rRNA from 1 species